UCAGUGGGAAUAUUAUGCGCACAUAGUCAAAAAAGCAGAAAUAACAAACUGCGCUUGUGUUAAAUAUUUUUAGAGUAGAAGGCUAGGGUCCGAGGUUGUUGUAACUUCCUUAAACGUUCUCUUGAUUCGUAACUGUUGAAGAGAAAAAAACAAAAGGAUCAUAUAUACAUCAUAGUAUCAUCCAGACAGAAAUAAUUAAUUAAUCCUUACUUCACAUCCUGAAUUAAAUAAAAUGGCUUUUGAAAACCGGACAAAUGGGUCAUAUGGUACCCGAAAUAAUUAUGGAGGCAACCGAGGAGGUUUUGGAAGUAGCAAUCGCAACGGUUCUAAUUCCAGUUUUGGAAAUGGUGGUAGCAAGUUUUCAAACGGAAGUGGAAAAUUUGGUGGAAAAUCCGGUAGCGAUGGAAAGUUUGGAGGUAGAAGGGAUAAUGGAAAUAGUCGAUUUGGUAAUUCAAAUGGUGGGGGCUUCAGAAAUUCAAACAACGCAAGCGGUGGAGCACCUGGACGAGCAUUACGUAAACCAGAUUGGGAAUCACACAAGUUGAGACCAUUCAAAAAAGAUUUUUAUGUUCCACACCCAUCAGUAUUGAGUCGCACUAAGAAUGAAGUUGAAAAAUAUCGUGAUACUGCACAAAUUACCAUCAAUGGAGAUGCCCCACCACCAAUAACCCAUUUCGAGGAAGGAAAUUUCCCCGAAUACGUUAUGGAAGGUAUUCGUAAACAAGGUUACGAUGUACCAACUGCCAUUCAAGCUCAAGGAUGGCCAAUUGCCAUGAGUGGAAAGAACAUGGUUGGAAUUGCCCAAACAGGAUCAGGAAAAACCUUAGCUUACAUUUUACCAGCUAUUGUUCAUAUCAAUAACCAACAACCCAUUUCACGUGGAGAAGGACCUAUCGCAUUAGUUUUGGCACCAACCCGUGAAUUGGCUCAACAAAUUCAAUCGGUUGCUACCGAAUUUGGAAGCACUACUUAUGUCAGGAACACAUGCAUUUUCGGUGGUGCACCAAAAGGACCACAGGCUCGUGACUUAGAACGAGGCGUUGAAAUUGUAAUUGCCACACCUGGACGUUUAAUUGAUUUCCUUGAGAAAGGCACAACAAAUUUGGCAAGAUGUACAUACUUAGUAUUAGACGAAGCCGACAGAAUGUUAGACAUGGGAUUCGAACCUCAAAUUAGAAAAAUUAUCGAACAAAUUCGUCCAGACAGACAAACUUGCAUGUGGUCCGCUACAUGGCCAAAAGAAGUUAGAAAAUUAGCUGCAGAUUUCUUAAACGACUAUGUACAAAUUAACAUUGGAUCAUUACAACUUGCCGCAAAUCAUAAUAUCUUACAAAUUGUCGACGUAUGCCAAGAAGCAGAAAAGGAAGCAAAAUUAGCAAAUUUAUUACAAGAAAUUGGAAACUCAGACGAAGAAGCUAAAAUAAUCAUAUUCGUCGAAACAAAGAAAAAAGUAGAAAAUAUCACACGAACAAUCCGUAAAUUCGGUUGGCCAGCAGUUUGUAUGCACGGUGAUAAAAGCCAGCAAGAAAGAGACUAUGUAUUACGUGAAUUCAGAAAUGGAAAUGCAAGUAUAUUAAUAGCAACAGAUGUGGCCGCCCGAGGAUUAGAGGCACAACAUGCGAGAUGAAAGCGUACAUGCAACUUUUUUUAAAAAAAAACUUUGAACGAGUUGCUUAGUACGCCUAUACAAUGGUGUUGGCGCUAAAAAAACGAAUAUUGAAUGCGCAAUACUAAUGUUGUCUUGUGUAAUGUGCCUCUUUAAUAGGCCGAUGUUUUUUUGGAAGAUGUUACCGAUGUGUACGAAUUCGUACGAUAAUACUUAUGGCACAAAUUUGUUGAUUUUCUACCACUAUCCCCUUCAUAUUCCAUAUUAUUCACAAACAACCAUCCCUAAGGUAUUUAUCCAAUUCAUUCCAUUAUGAACAUAUCCUCCUCACUUAUGAUUGACCAAGAAAAUCUUACCUACGCAAAAAAAAAAAAAAAACGAGUGUGGCAGCGUUACUAUAAAACAUUUUUACAAAAGCAGCCGACUUGACGGGAGUUAUCACGGUCAAUCAUCAGUUUAUAUAUAACACGAUAAUUAUCAAAUGAGUGCCAUUUCAAUUUUGCUCUUGUCUUCCUUGUGUAAAUCGGCUGCAGUUAAUCUCACACUGUUCCAAACCAGUUAAACAAAAACAAAGGUAUUUUUUGUUGGUGCAGUGUUUUCUUGCAUCAUAUAUUGCUACUAUACAUGAAUCACACAAAAUAAGUACUUUUCCUACCUUCUUAUAAUCGUCUUAUUGGCUGUCGGAAUGGACGUAUCAAACUGAUGUUGAGGGUAUUAAAUAUGUCAUAAAUUAUGACUACCCUAACUCGUCAGAAGACUAUAUUCACCGAAUAGGAAGGACAGCUAGAUCACAAAGUACAGGUACAUCAUACGCAUUCUUCACACCAUCAAAUGCCAGACAA